ensembl:snoRNA
AGCCUCGUUCUAGUUGAGAAUGGGCACUGCUGACCUUGGUGUCCAGAAAUAGUUAAUGUGGCUAAAUUGAGACAGGUGAUGCUUCCACCACUGUAUGCAUAUUGCAGUGGUGACAAUGAGACCUGUAACAUUU